rnacentral:rRNA from 1 species
CCUACGGGUGUGCAGCAGUGGGGAAUAUUGGACAAUGGGCGAAAGCCUGAUCCAGCCAUGCCGCGUGUGUGAAGAAGGCCUUCGGGUUGUAAAGCACUUUCAGUGGGGAAGAAAGCCUUGGGGCUAAUACCCUCGAGGAAGGACAUCACCCACAGAAGAAGCACCGGCUAACUCCGUGCCAGCAGCCGCGGUAAUACGGAGGGUGCGAGCGUUAAUCGGAAUUACUGGGCGUAAAGCGCGCGUAGGCGGUCUGAUAAGCCGGUUGUGAAAGCCCCGGGCUCAACCUGGGAACGGCAUCCGGAACUGUCAGGCUAGAGUGCAGGAGAGGAAGGUAGAAUUCCCGGUGUAGCGGUGAAAUGCGUAGAGAUCGGGAGGAAUACCAGUGGCGAAGGCGGCCUUCUGGACUGACACUGACGCUGAGGUGCGAAAGCGUGGGUAGCAAACAGGAUUAGAUACCCCGGUAGUC